rnacentral:rRNA from 1 species
CGGAUCCUACGGGAGGCAGCAGUCGGGAAUAUUGCGCAAUGGAGGAAACUCUGACGCAGUGACGCCGCGUGCAGGAAGAAGGUUUUCGGAUUGUAAACUGCUUUAGACAGGGAAGAUAAUGACAGUACCUGUAGAAUAAGCUCCGGCUAACUACGUGCCAGCAGCCGCGGUAAUACGUAGGGGGCAAGCGUUAUCCGGAUUUACUGGGUGUAAAGGGAGCGUAGACGGCGAUGCAAGUCUGAAGUGAAAGGCGGGGGCCCAACCCCCGGACUGCUUUGGAAACUGUAUAGCUGGAGGGCAGGAGG